AUGUGAUAUCUAGCAUUUAACUUUAAUUAAAACUCUAACCAAUGCUGAAGUUAGUCUGCUAUCCAAAAAUUGAAUUAUUUUAUAUGUUUUAUUGCAUUUAUCACUUUUCUAUAAGUCAAUUUAUCAUUCCCUCACUAAGACAAUGAUUCUAUAGAAGGAACACUGAAGGAAAAUUGUUUAAUUUAUUAUGAAAGUAGCAAGAGUAGAUUUAUCACAGCUAAUUUUCUGAACUUUCCUGUAGUAUCUACCUCUAAAUUUCUAGAUAGCCAGUUUCUCUUUAGAUUUUCAAUAGGAAUUAUUUAGGAAUUUGGCUUCUCAAAAUAACAUAAUUUAAUUUAGAUUACUGUAAUGAUAUAAAACCAUUAAAGAAAGAAUCUCUUUAUAUGGAUUUUAAGCUACAUUAUAAGAUUCUGACACUUAUAAAGCUUAAAUACAGCUACUGAGACAGCCAGUUAUAAGGCCACUAUAUCAGGGAAACAUAUUUAAAACUCAAGUUUACUUAUAUACUGAAAGUCUUAUCAUCUCCUUGUCUUUGCUCUCCCAGCAUUAACUAUAUCCCUACUAUCAUUCAAAAGAUCCAAAUUCCAUCCAUUUUACAAGGUCCAUUUGGUUUUCUACCUAAUUCAAAAAGAUCUUCAGAUUACUUCUGUUCACAGUGAUACAACUUGUAUUGCUUUGUAGUGAAUCUCAAACAGUUUAAUAAUUAUUUAAAUAUUUUAAUGUUUUAUGGAUCUUCUACUUUGCUUAUAAGCUACUUGGGAGCAGUAUCUUUGUUUCAUAUUUAUUUACUGUAAGUGGCUAUCAUAACAUUGGACAUAUUGCUGAAUCUCCUCAACAUACAAUUCACAUGACCACUAAAUGAAAACUUCUCCAGCUUGAUGCCUCAUAUGGAUUCUUGCUGAUUUCACCUCAUAACGCAAAGUGUUAAACUAAAAAUUUAGAUUAAAUCUGCAAACUAUUUCACACACAGCAUUUUCAUGACAAUUGAAAAAAUAUAUUCACAAUAAUAUCAUGUAACUGUAUUAGGUAGGCAGCAGAGGACACACUUAAAAUAUGUGAAGAAACAAUCAUCUGGUCUCAGUACAGUGUUCUCUUGCUGCUCUGCUGCCCCACUCCUCUGCCAGUCGCAUUGGAAGAAGCAUCGGCAAUGGUUCUGGCAUGUGCAAAGCUGGCUUUGCUGAGGAGGACGCCCCCCGAGCCAUCUUUCCCUCCAUUGUUGGGCACCCUCGUACCAGGGUGUGAUGGUUGGCAUGGGCCAGAAGAACUCCUACAUGGGCGACAAGGCCCAAAGCAAGCACGGCAUCCUGACCCUGAAGUACCCCAUUGAGCAUGGCAUUGUCACCAAUUGGGAUGACACGGAGAAAAUCUGGCACCACAUGUUCUACAACAAGCUGCGUGUGGCCCUGGAGGAGCACCCCAUGCUGCUGACUGAGGCCCCUCUGAACCCCAAGGCCAACAGAGAGAAGAUGACUCAGAUCCUGUUUGAGACCUUCAACACCCCAGCCAUGUAUGUGGCUAUCCAGGCCAUGCUGUCCCUCUAUGCCUCUGGGCACACCACUGGCAUUGUCAUGGACUCUGGAGACGGGGUCACCCACACGGUGCCCAUUUAAGAGGGCUGUGCCCUUCUCCACACUAUCCUGCAUCUGGACCUGGCUGGCCAGGACCUGACCAACUACCUCAUGAAGAUCCUCACCUAGCGCAGCUACAGCUUCACCACCACGGCUGAGCGGGAGACCAUCCAUGACAUCAAGGAGAAGCUGUGCUACGUCACCCUGGACUUCGAGCAGGAGAUGACCAUAGCUGCAUCCUCCUCCUCUCUGGAGAAGAGCUAUGAGCUGCCUGAUGGCCAGGUCAUCACCAUUGGUAAUGAACGGUUCCGGUGUCUAGAGGCGCUGUUCCAGCCUUCCUUUCUCAGCAUGGAAUCUUGUGGCAUCCAUGAGAUCACCUUCAACUCCAUCAUGAAGUGUGAUGUGGACAUCCAUAAAGACCUGUACGCCAAUGCUGUGCUGUCUGGUGGCACCACAAUGUACCCAGGCAUCACAGACAGGAUGCAGAAGGAGAUCACCACCCUGGCACCCAGCACCAUAAAGAUCAAGAUUAUUGCACCCCCAGAGCAUAAGUACUCCAUGUGGAUUGGCGGCUCCAUCCUGGCCUCACUGUCCACCUUCCCGGUGGAUUAGCAAGAUGUGGAUUAGCAAGCAGAAGUACGAUGAGUCUGGCCCCUCCAUCGUCCACUGCAAAUGCUUCUAAAUGGACUGCGAGCAGAUGCAUAGCAUUUGCUGCAUGAGUUAAUUCGGCAGUAUAAAUUUGCCACUGGCCAAUGCAUACACCUCAUGCUAACCUCACAAAACUGGAAUAAGCCUUUAAAAAGAAAUUGUCCUUGAAGCUUGUAUCUGAUAUCAGCACUGGAUUGUAGAACUUGUUGCUGAUUUUGACCUUGUAUUCAAGUCAACUGUUCCCCUUGUUAUUUAAUAACCUGUACAUGUCUUUGAUUUCAACCUUUAUAGUACAUGUGACUUGGUCACUCGUGGCUGAUGUAAAAACGUGCUUGUGGACAGACAAGUCUGGCUUGGUGAGUCUGUGUGGCCAGCAGACUCCUAUCUGUGCAGGGUAUUCAUGUGUCAAGGCUGAGUGUUCUGGGAUUGCUUUACAGGCUGGCAAAGUCCAAGCCAUAGGACCCGGUUUCCUUUCUUAGCUGAUGUUUUCCUGCCAGAGCAAUGUGGACUAUUACUUGCCUUGAGUUGGAAGCAGUUUGCAUUUACACCUGUAAAUGUAUUCAUCCUUUUAAUUUAUGUAAGUUUUAAUUUAUGCAACUCUCGAUUCUUUAAAGAGAUGACACAAAUUUUGGUUUUCUACUGUUAUGUGAGAACAUUUGGCCCCAGCAACACGUCAUUGUGUAAGGAAAAAUUAAAGUGCUUCCAUAAAAAAAAAGAAAAGAAAAAGAAACAAUCAUCUAAAAGUCUUCAUGAUUGUUACAUUUUUCAUUAGAAACAUCCUUAUAGGCCGGGCGCGGUGGCUCAAGCCUGUAAUCCCAGCACUGUGGGAGGCUGAGGCGGGUGGAUCACGACGAGGUCAAGAGAUCAAGACCAUCCUGGUCAACAUGGUGAAACCCCGUCUCUAUUAAAAAUACAAAAAAUUAGCUGGGCGUGGUGGUGCGCGCCUAUAAUCCCAGCUACUCAGGAGGCUGAGGCAGAAGAAUUGCCUGAACCCAGGAGGCGGAGGUUGCGGUGAGCCGAGAUUGCGCCAUUGCACUCCAGCCUGGGUAACAAGAGAGAAACUCCAUCUCAAAAAACAAACAAACAAACACACAGAAACAUCCUUAUAGAAGAGGGAGUAUAGGAAAUAUAAUUGAAAUUCUCCUUUCUUAUUAUAUUCUCCCACUCCUAAUAAUUGCCUUCUAGAUCCUUGAAGAAUCCCUAUCUUGCUUUUGCAUAAAGAUCUUUUACCCUGCAGGUAAAAAUCUGUCAUUUGAAAGUAAAGUUUGAUUUUUUUAUAUGUAAGUAUGUUGAAAUAUGUGUCAGUUUAUCCAUUGACAUUUUUAUGUGUUUUUUAAAUAUAUCCUCAAUUUUUUUUACCUGACUAUAUCUUUGUUGGAUAUAUAUAAAUUCAAAAUACUGUGGAUUUAUAAAUGCAAAACUUCUUAAGUAAAAAAUGGAAUCUAGAUAUUCUGCAAAAUUGUUCAAAACAAAAUUAUAGUUUUUAGUUAAGGGUCAAAGAGCUGUUUAAUUUUUCAAAGGAAAAAUAGUUCCACAUCUUAAGCAAGCCCUUCUGGGCAUGACAGAAAAAGUCAAUAAAUACAAUGUAUUCUGUGGAACUUACCCAACCCCUGAAAAGUUCCUGUAUCUUCUAAAUAUAUAAUUUGUAACUACAUAUGAAUAUGUAUUUUGCCACUGAUGCUUUAUUCUUUUUAGAUUUGUAAUUUUUCUUCAUAAAAUUAUUUAAAUUUUUAAAAAAUUUUAUUUAAUUCAUUAUUUAUUUUGAGUAGGGUCUCAUUCUGUCAUGCAGGAUAAAGUGCAGUGACAUGACAUAAUCAUGGCUCUCUGCAGCCUCAACCUCUUGGGCUCAAGUGAUUCUUCCACUUUAGUCUCCCAAAUAGCUGGGACCACAGUUGUGUACCUCCACUCCUGGCUAAUUUAUUUUUUGCUGAGGUGGGGAUCUGCUUAUGUUGUCCAGGCUGAUCUCAAACUCCUGGUUUCAGAUGAUGCUUCUGCCUAGGCCUCCUAAAGUGCUAGGAUUAUAGUUGUGAAUAUUUAUGAGUUACAUGAGAUACUUUGACACAGGCAUGCAGUGUGUAAUAAUCACAUCAAGGUAAAGGGGAAUCCAUCACAUCAAGCAUUUAACCUUUGUGUUACAAACAAUCCAGUAAUACUCUUGGUAAUUUUUAAAUGUACAAUUAAAUCCCUUUUAACAAUAGUCACUCUCUGUGCUAGCAAACACUAGGUUUUUUUUUUUUUUUU